UAAUUAAAACACUGCAGUAAAUGAGUUGGAUAAUACUUAAAACUAAGAUUUCAAUAAUUGUUUUUCAAAGUUUUCACUUGCACAGAUCUAAUUUCGUUUCACGUGGAUAAUAUCUGGCAGAUAUAGUCAAACGAAUGAACGUGAAAACGACGGGAAAAAUCCUCGAAACAACCAUGGCGUUUCAUCACGUUUCCUUAUUCAAGCAUCCUAACGUGUUUUUUUACCGAAGUCUUUUUGAGUAUAUUUAUAUAUUAUUGUUUUAUUCAAGUAUUCGAUUAAAUUAUACAGGUUUUUAUCGUGCUUUUUUAGUUCAUUCGUUUCUCUUAUUCUUUGUGAAUAAAAAUAUUACAUAAUAUUUUCAAAAUCUAAUUUUUUUAAUUAUUCAGCAAAUAGUUUGAAAUCUUUUUUUUUUUUAACCUUGAAUCAAUGAGCUCGAUAGUUUUAGAAUUGUUUGGUAUUAGCUUGGUAAUAUGAUACGUAACUAUGUUAUUUUUCAAAUUCAAUUAUUUAUAUACUCUUGCAUUCUAUUGGGCGUGCAAAUUAAAAACUUAAACUGUUAUUUAUAUUUUUAUAACUUUGCUUUACCUAUGCCUAUCCUGAUCGGAAAUAGUUAUUCUGAUACGUGAAUAAAAAAUUUGA
rnacentral:lncRNA from 1 species